UCGCUACUACCGAUUGAACGGUUUAGUGAGUUUCGAGGAUCGAUUGCUUGCGGGGUCCUGCCUCGUUUGUGGUUGAGAGCAGACACAAACUUGAUCGUUUAGAGGAAGUAA
rnacentral:rRNA from 1 species